rnacentral:rRNA from 1 species
UACGUAGGGCGCAAGCGUUGUCCGGAAUUAUUGGGCGUAAAGAGCUUGUAGGCGGUUUGUCGCGUCUGCUGUGAAAAUCCGAGGCUCAACCUCGGACUUGCAGUGGGUACGGGCAGACUAGAGUGUGGUAGGGGAGACUGGAAUUCCUGGUGUAGCGGUGGAAUGCGCAGAUAUCAGGAGGAGCACCGAUGGCGAAGGCAGGUCUCUGGGCCACUACUGACGCUGAGAAGCGAAAGCAUGGGGAGCGAACAGG